rnacentral:lncRNA from 1 species
GGUGACAUUGGGAGAGGAGUCUCUCACUGCCCCCUGGGACAAGUGAGAAUAUAGCAGCAAUACUGUGAGCUACCAAUUGCUGAAUGCGUGCUUUCCGCCUGGCCAGCCUCAGGAGGCAGGUCUGUGUGUGUUUGUAAAUUACCCUCUUCCAAGUUGGAAUCAAGACUUAUUUGGCCAAGAAUGUCGCCCUUGGGGAAGGAGACUGCCAAGAGAAGGGAAACCCAGAGGACCAAGCCCAGAAAACGCCCUCUCAGAGGAGAGGAUGCUGAACCUCCACCAAUCAGGUAUAUCCAGAAGAUUGGAAGAAGAUGCUAGCAAUUCACAUUCUUUUGAGAACACAUGAAACCUCUAAGCAGUUGCUUCAAGUCGGAUUUUUUCUCAUUCUCAAGUUUUUUGCAUCUGAUUUUCCCCCAGUGUCCUCGCAUACUCUCUAAGUGUUUUAUUCAAGAAGAGUAAUGAGGAGGGAUUAUUUUUAAAACAUCUUCCACAUCUGAGAGGGUCUUUUUGUUGCCUUAAUUUGUGAAUGUCAAAUGGCUUUUCCUUUAAUGUGUGUGUGUGUUAGGUUUUUCAAUGAGUGUUUUUCAAACUGCAGGUCACAAAUGACUCAAUUGUGAAUACCUUUUUUAAAAUGUGAAAAACAAUAACAAGAAUAAAAAUAUUAGAGUGCAUUGAAAGUAGUAAGGAUGAUAUUGCAUCAUGAAUGCCUAAAGAGGGAAAUUCAAAUUUUCUUUUUAUAUUCUUUAUCCUGCUUUUUAAAAAAGCAAUAUGAGUUGAGGUGAAAAACCAAAACAGAAGACAUUUAUUGCCCUGGAUGUUGAGAAAUCUGAGACCAUGUUAAAUUUAGACUCUUUAUUUUUUUCCCCCUAUUGGUCUAUAAGAGCCUUAUUUUAUCACACCUUCUCCCCCAAUUUAAACUCCUUUUUAAAACUAUAAAAUAAAUCUAUUUACAUGGUUUAAAAAGAAAAGUAAAUGUCUCUCC